CGGGGUGACAGGCACCGUGCGACCCCUGUGCUGAAGGGAGCUCUUGAGACUGCGGGAGGCUCUUCCGAAGAAAUACCGUCGUGUGAGUAAUAUCUACCAGGAGAUAAUGUUAUCAGGUGUGUCCUGUGUGUGCUGUAGAGAUCAUUGCUUUCGAGGCAGAGGAGGACAGCAAAAGAAACAGCAACACACCAGAAAUGAAAGCAGCAGUGGAAGAGGAGAAGAGCUGUCUUAGGGAAUGCCUUGUAUGCAGUCCUCUGGGCUGGAAGAUGGAUGGGGAGCAGAAUGAAGCCCCUGUAAUCCAAGGGGAAACGGCCAGUGACCUGUUACUCUACUUUGACAUGCUCAAGUCUAUGGGGCUGGAUGGGAUCCACCCAGGAGUACUGAGGGAGCCGGAGGAAGUGUUCACUGAGUACCUUUUCAUCAUUUAUCAGAAGUCCUAACAAACCAGUCUGGGUGGCUGAGCCCAAGGAGCAGAGGUGAAAGGAGUUACACCCACUUGGUGGCCAGUCACAAGUGAUGUUCCCAAGGAUGUAGUAUUGGAGCAAGUCCUGUUUAAUAUCUUUACUGACAAUCUGGAUGAGGAGAUCGAGUGCACAGUCAGUCAGUUCGCAGUAGACACCAAGUUGUGUGGGAGGGCUGACCUGCUGGAGGGCAGAAAGGCUCUGCAGAGGGAUCUGGGCAGUCUAGAUUGAUGGUCUGAGGACAAUGGUAUGAGGUUCAACAAGGCAAAGUGCCAGAUCCUGUGCCUGGUUUACAGUAAUCCCACACAGUGCUACAGGCUGCAAGCAGAGUGGCUGGAAAACAUUCCAGUGGAAAAAGACCCCGUGGUGCUGGUGGACUCAGCUAAACAUGAGCCAGCCUGUGCCCAGGUGGCCAAGGAGGCCUGUGACAUCAUGGCUUAUCCAAAAUAGUGUGGCUAGCAGGACUAGGGCUGUCCCACAUGGGAAGGGGCUGCCCAGGCCCGUGGUGGAGUCACCCCCCCAGAGGUAUUUAAGACAGCAGAUGUGGCACUCGAGGACACCAUUUAGUGGUGGGCUUGGCCGUGCUGGGUUGAUAGUUGGAUUCAAUGCUCUUAAAGGUCUUUUCCAAUGUAAAUGGUUUUACAAUUUCAACCAUGCAACACUGUUUGAGCAGGAAAGCAAGCUUUUCAACACACAUUUCUUGUGAGUUACCACAAAACAUAGAGUGAUUUGAGGGAACUGGGAAGAUCAGCAGUUAAGGUGUUGCACAGGACCUGGCGAUGACAGGACAUUUCAUCAUCCCCCUGCAGAUGUGUCGGUGCUGCUGCUGAAGGAUCCUGCCUCCCUCCACAUCAUUAGAGGAGUGAUAAACCAUCUCAGUGGGAGGGGAGGACAGUAAGCGCAUGAUGGGGCUGGGGGGACAGUGGGUGACACACCUAAUGAAGGCCAUUAACGUAUCACAGUUAGAUUUUCAUGGAGCAAGAGAAAAGUCAUUAGUCUUUUUGUGUGUGUCAGCUAGCAGAAAGACUAUGGAGCAAAGUCACUUUUCCUCCAGGAAUUUAAUUUGCACAGAAGAGAGAUCUUAUCUUGAGGUUCUUUUGUCACUUCUCCACAAAACACAAGGAGAGCCGUUACAGCAGCACCCGUCUGUUUGAAGAUGCAGAUAAAGUGCAUACACUUGUCAAUUCAGGCAUAUUAGUUUAGAUUAAAAUUGCUUAAACUGAAAAGUCGGUGUAAAUAUUUUUCCUUAAAAUACAUUCACUUCUAUAAACUUUGAGAUUGGAACCAUUAAAUUGGACAGGAAAAAGAAAAAUCUUGACAAAAAAUAAUCAGGUCAGGGAGAGUGUUCUGUUUGAUACAAAGCCUUUUCUUGGUGAGAAGGAUUACUUUAGUGAGAGGUAUUACCCAGCAUGAUCUAAUCAAAUUUAGAAGAAAAUGG